rnacentral:rRNA from 1 species
CACCAGGCGCGAAACCUUUACAAUGCACGAAAGUGUGAUAGGGGGAUACUCAGUGCUUACGCUUAUGGUGUAGGCUUUUGUCGAUCGUAAAUAGAUCGGCGAAUAAGUGGUGGGUAAGACUGGUGCCAGCCGCCGCGGUAACCCCAGCGCCACAAGUGGUUAUCACGAUUAUUGGGCCUAAAGCGUUCGUAGCCGGUCUGGUAAAUCUUUUGUGAAAUUGUUCGGCUUAACCGGACAGCGUGCAGGAGACACUGCCAGACUCGAGACCGGGAGGGGUUAGAAGUAUUCCAUGGGGACUGGUAAAAUGGGAUAAUCCAUGGAAGACUACCGAUGGCGAAGGCAUCUAACCAGAACGGAUCUGACGGUGAGGAACGAAAGCCAGGGGAGCGAACCGGAUUAGAUACCCGAGUAGUCCUGGCCGUAAACGCUGUGAGCUAGGUGCCGCGUAUCUCACGAAGAUGCGCGGUGUCGAAAUGAAGAUGCUAAGCUCACCGCCUGGGAAGUACGGUCGCAAGAGUGAAACUUUAAGGAAUUGGCGGGGGAGCAC